rnacentral:rRNA from 1 species
AACGAACGCUGGCGGCAGGCUUAACACAUGCAAGUCGGACGCCCCGCAAGGGGAGUGGCAGACGGGUGAGUAACGCGUGGGAACAUACCCUUUUCUACGGAAUAGCUCUGGGAAACUGGAAUUAAUACCGUAUACGCCCUACGGGGGAAAGAUUUAUCGGGGAAGGAAUGGCCCGCGUUGGAUUAGCUAGUUGGUGGGGUAAAGGCCUACCAAGGCGAGGAUCCAUAGCUGGUCUGAGAGGAUGAUCAGCCACAUUGGGACUGAGACACGGCCCAAACUCCUACGGGAGGCAGCAGUGGGGAAUAUUGGACAAUGGGCGCAAGCCUGAUCCAGCCAUGCCUCGUGAGUGAUGAAGGCCUUAGGGUUGUAAAGCUCUUUCACCGAUGAAGAUAAUGACGGUAGUCGGAGAAGAAGCCCCGGCUAACUUCGUGCCAGCCGCCGCAGUAAGAC